AUGCACAUUGUUAUCAGGUCAGGCAAGCUGGCUGUGUUCUGAAAAAGGGGGCAUAAUGCUGCUGUUCAACCCAGUGCCUGGAGUCUUGGGCUGCAUGCAUAAGAGGAGCCCAAGCUGCCUCCUCUCUCUUCUUCAAAAACCCUCACCAUUCAAGUGGCAAUAGAAGUAGGAACUAGCAUCUAAAUGGCUCUAUAAUGUAUGCAAUGUGUCUUACAUAUUUUCUAUUCCUACCUCCUCUUCAAAUCUUUCUGGGAAUAUAAAAACACACAAUGACCUUUCUUCUCUUCAGUUCUCACCAGGCUGCCCUUUGGACUUCUCCUGUGAGUCCUCUUCAUCUUGGAAGAUCACUUCCACCCUGGAACUCACCUGGCAGAAGUGCCGCCUAUACCUGGAGCCCUUCUCUCCAAUUGGAUGAUUUCCUCCAGAACUUCCAUUUAAAGAGGGAUUUCAGCCCAACCAUCUCUUCAUUUUUCACCAGGCUGGACUAUUCCAGAUUUCUGCAUCCUAACCCUAUUGUGUAGGUUUCCCCCCACUGUCCUUUUCAACUUCUUUUUAUGCUUUCCUCCAUUAAAAGGAAUAAUGAACUGGAGAAAUUCCAUGUGAACUGGAAUCACCUCCAGGAAGUGAUGCAGAGUGAGAGGAGCAGAACCAGGAAAACAUCAUACACAGAGACUGACACACUGUGGCACAAUCGAAUGAAACGGACUUCUCUACUAGCAGCAAUGCAAUGAUCUAGGACAAUUCUGAGGGACUUAUGAGAAAGAACUGUGGGAGUAGAAACGCAGAAGAAAAACAACUACUUGAUCAUGUGAGUUAAUGGGGAUAUGACUGGGGAUGUAGACUCUAAAUGAACCUCCUAAUGCAAACAUCAGUAACAUGGAAAUAGGUCUGGAUCAAUGACACAUAUAAAACCCUGUGGAAUUGCACGUCGGCUAUGGGAGGGGAGGGAAAGAACAUGAAUCAUGUAACCAUGGAAAAAUAUUCUAAAUCAAUUAAUUAAAUAAAAAUUUCAAAUUAACAACAACAACAACAACAAAAGGCCCAAGGGCCCCUUCUCAAAGUGUGCAGCAAUUCUUGCUCUGUUUACCACUGAGGGAGAGGGAGAGAUUACAUCUGUUUCGGCCUCUUGUGUGCACAGUAGAUUCUGGCUUGACAACCAUUUAAAAGUCUUUUCAUCAACAUGAGGUAAGUGAUGGGAAUAAACCCGAGAAUACUUGCACAUGCUUUGAAUGGGAAGAGAAAGGGUCCCUUCAUGAAGAAUUUACAGAAUGUCUCAUCAAGCUAUAUAAGUUGAUAGCAGACAGAGUGUACUGGACAUGCUCCAAGGCCUGGACACAGAAUGGCCAGUCUUUCCAGACUUCUCUCCCCACCUCUACUACUUUACAAUAACUAUUCUCUAACUAGGUCUCCUUCAAACUUCUUCUGUGAUGUUGCUAUUUUGAAUAUGAGUGUAUAACUUUAAAGUGAUCUCUCUUAUAUUUCAGAGGCAUCUAGUAGGUGCAAUAGAUAGAGCAUGGUGCCUGGAAUCAGGAAGAUGAAUUCAAAUAUGCCUCAGACAUUUACUAGUUAUAUGACCUUGGGCAAGUCACUUAACCCUGUUUGCCCCGGUUCUUCAUCCGUAAAAUGAGCUGGAGAAGGAAAUAGCAAACCACUCUAGCAUUUUUUGGCAAGAAAAUAUCAAACAGUUGGCCAUACAUGAAAUGAAUGAACAAUAACAUAUUUCCUCCCAUUGGGGGUGGUCCAUGUUCUAGUCCUUCAAAUAUCUGAAGACUGCUAAAGAUACUCUGAGUCUUCUUUUCUGCAGGAUGAAAAUUCCCAGGUCUUCUGAUUAUUGUUCAACUGUUAUAGUUUUGUGUCUUCUCUAUUGUGACCAGCUUUGCUGGACUUGUUCCAACUUGUUAAUGUCCCUCUUAAAAUGGGGUGUCCAGAGGGACCAGGUAUGCCAGAUGUACUCUUCUCAGACCAAGUGCAGCAGGAUUAUUAUUUUCCGUGACCUGGAUAUAAUAUUUUACUAACUUCACUUAAGAUCUCCUCAUUAGAUUUCUAUUGUUUUCGACUGGGGAACCUGUCUGAGCCCAGAUGGAAGCAAAUACAAGGAAAAUUCCAUUUGCUUUAAAAUUAGGUUACAGAGCGGAGUAUUUGCCCUGCUUACUCUGUGCCUUUCUCUUCCCCCUGUGCUUCCACCUGUUACCCAAUUAACACCCCAUUAUGCCGAACACCUGCACAGAAGCUAUUAACAAUAUCCCUUCCAGGACUCUUGUCACCUUGGCUCAAAUGCCACCUCUCUGUUCUGAAACACCUGUGUCUACUGCCAGGCAUCACAGGUGUUUGCCUAUAGGAAGGCUUUGGCGCUUGCUGAGUUUUUUCCUGAGAGGAGGAAUUAAUGUGGUAAUUAAUGCAGAUAUCCCCCCAGAAGCUCCUCUCCCUCAGCUCAAGGCUAAAGAGAUGAUCCUGACAGUUCUUUGAGUUUGAGAAAGUAACUUUGGGUACAAGUGAAAAAGGGCCACAAGGCCAGGGCAGUUCAGGGUGGUAGGAAUGGGAAGAAAGAAGCAGAAGAGAGGAUUAGGGAAUUUUUUAUUUGAUUUUUUUCUUCUUCUCCACAUUCUAGUGAAGAGAAGGAUCAAUGAUUAUAGUUUCUGAAAUUCUAGCUUCUCAACCAACUCUCCUCAGAUUUACAAGAGAAGGGUGAGAACUGAGAGCUUCCUAAUUACACACCCAGAAUGUACUUCAUUCCAAUUAACAAGUACUUAUUAAGUUCCUACUAUGUGCCAGGUAUAGUGUCAUGCCAUGGGUAUACAAAGACAAUAAAGAAACUGGACUAGAUGAUCUCUUUUCCCCCCUUUGAAUUUUUAUAUUUUUCAGUGAACAAUAUUCUCUUUCUUCUAUCCUCCCCGUUCCCAUUGAAAACAAGAAAAAAUCCUUAUAAUAAUGAAAUAACAACCCCUGCCCUUUAAGUGCCCUUUAAGUGUCUGGGGAGACAACAUUUACAUAUGUAAACUAUGUAUGAGAUAAAUGAGAUCAUUUUGGGGGGAGCAAUAGUAAUGAAGGAGAGGGUGAGGAAUGGGGAAAGUCCUCAUCUAGAAAAUGGUACCUGAACUGAACUCUGCAGAUAUGAGGGAUUCUAAGCUAAGGAGGUUGAGACUUUAUUCUAGGUAUGGUAAAGAACUUAGGCAAAGUUUUGAUCCAGCCAUAGCACUGCUGGGUUUGUACCCCAAAGAGAUAAUAAGGGAAAGGACCUGUACAAGAAUAUUCAUAGCUGCACUCUUUGUGGUGGCCAAAAAUUGGAAAAUGAGGGUAUGCCCAUCAAUUGGGGAAUGGCUGAACAAAUUGUGGUAUAUGUGGGUGAUGGAAUACUAUUGUGCUCAAAGGAAUAAUGAAGUGGAGGAAUUCCAUGGAGACUGGAACAACCUCCAGGAAGUGAUGCAGAGUGAGAGGAGCAGAACCAGGAGAACAUUGUACACAGAGACUGAUACACUGUGUCACAAUCAAAUGUAAUGGACUCCUUUACUAGCAGCAACACAAUGAUCCAGGACAAUUCUGAGGGACUUAUGAGAAAAAAACAUUCAGAGAAAGAACUGUGGGAGCAGAAGCACAGAAGAAAAACAACUGCUUGAUCAUAUGGGUCGAGGGGAUAUGAUUGGGGAUGUAGACUCUAAGUGAACAUCGUAGUGCAAACACCAACAACAUGGAAAUAGGUUCUGAUCAAGGACACAUAUAAUACCCAAUGGAAUUGCUUGUUGGCUAUGGGGGUGGGAGGAGGGGAGGGAAAGAACAUGAAUCAUGUAACCAUGGAAAAAAAUUCUAAAUUAAUUAAUUAAAUAAAAAAUUUCAAUUAAAAAAAAGAACUUAGGCAAAGGCCUAAGGAUGGGCAAUGGAAUGUUGUGUGUAUAUGUGUGUGUGUGUGUGUGUGUGUGUGUGUGUGUGUGUGUGUGUGUUGAUGGGAGAGGCAGCAAGGCUAGUUUAAUUGAACCAUAGUAUCUGUGAAACAUAAUAUUUUAAAAUAAGUUUGGAAAACUAGCUUGGAACUAGGUUGUGAAAGACAUUAAAUGCUGAACAAAGGAGUUUAUAAUUGAUCCUAGUAUUAAUAGGAAACUAGGAGGUCUUAGAUCAGGGAAAUUAUAUAGCCAAAUCUAUGAUUAAUCAAUUAACUAAUAUUCAUUGUUUAUAUUUCAGGACCUCAUUUGUAAAAUGAAGAGGUUGGACCAGAUGGUCUUUUUCAGUUCUUUUGAAUUUUUACAUUUUUCAGUUAACCAGCAUUUAUUUUCACUUUCUCCUACCUUCUCCAUCUCCAUUAUUUAAAAAAGCAGAAAACAAUCCUUGUAAUAAAUGUAAGUUGCCAAGCAAAAAAAAAUUUCUGGAGUAAACAGAUGGAAAGCACCGUGAAAUGUAAAAUGGAUAAUUUCAAGUACAUUAAAUGGAAAAGUUUUUGUACAAAUAAAACAAAUGUUGCCAAGAUUAUAAAGAAAGCAGAAAUUGGGAAAAAUGUUCAUAGCCCCUUGGAUAAAAACCUCAUAUCUAAAAUAUAUAGAGAAUUUUCUCAAGUUUAUAAAAAAUGAUACAUUCUCCACUUGAUAAAUGACCAAAAGAUAUGAACACAUAACUUUCAGAUAAAGAAAUCAAAGCCAUAUAUAGGUAUAUGAAAAAUACUCUAAAUUACUACUGUUUAGAAAAUUAAAGCCAAAAUAAUUCUGAGGUAUCAUCUCAUACCUAUUAGGUUGACUAAGAUGACAAAAGGGCAAAAUGGCAAAUGAUGGAGAAGAUAUGGGAAAAUGGACACUAAUACACUGCUGGUGGACCUGUGAACUGAUCCAACCAUUUUGGAAAGCAAUUUGGAUUUAUGUCCAGAGAGUCAUAAAACUGGGAAUACCCCAAGACCCAACAAUACCAUUUUUGGGUCUGUUUUCCAAGAAGAUCAUGGAAAUAUGAAAAGAACCUAUAUGUUCCAAAAUAUUUAUAGCAGCUCUUUUUGUGGUGGCAAAGAACUGGAAAUUGAGGGGAUUUUUGUCAAUUGGGCAAUGGUUAAACAAAUUGUGGUAUGAUUGUGAUAGAAUACUACUGUGUUGUAAGAAACAAUAAGGUUACUUUUUUUAAACCUGGAAAGAACUAAAUGAGAUAAUGAAGAGUGAAAUAAAUAGAACCAAGACAAGAUUAUAUAUAGCUACAAACGUAAUAGCUGAAGAAUAACUUGAGACUAUCCACCUCCAGUGGAAGAACUGAAAAACAGAAACAAUGAAAGACACAAUCUAUAUAUUCAUCUCUUUUUCUGCUAUCAUUUUUUCCUUUAUUUUAUUCCAGUAACAAAUUUGCACAUAAGUUUUCCAAGGUAACAUGAUUCAUGUUGUCUCUCUUCCCUUAUACAUAUCUCUUUACUGGCUGAUGCCUUCUAUGGUGUGGGGAGGGAGGGAGGAUUUGAGAUGUUUGAAAAUAAAUUCUACUAAUAAAUUUUAAAAAUUCUGCAUUGACCAUGCUCAAGAAUGCAUGUCUUAGAGGCAGCUAGAUAACACAGUGGAUAAAGUUUCAGGUAUGAAGUCAGAAGGACCUGGUUUCACAUCUGGCCUCAAAUACGUCCUAGCUGGGUGACCCUGGGCAAGUCACUAAACCUCAAUUGCCUAAUCCUUACCCUUCUUUUCUCUUAGAACUGCUAUAAGGGAAAGAUUUAAAAAAAAAAUUUCUUAUUAUGCAUCCUGAAUCUUGUCUGAAAUGAUGAAAUGCCCAUUUCAUCAUUAGCACUCUGAAAUCAUGGUUGAUUAUCACUGAUCAGAAUUUUUAAAUAAUGUUAUUUUGCCAAUUACAUGUACAAAUUUUAACAUUAAUUUUCUAAAAGUUUGAGUUCCAAAUUCUCUCCCUCUCCUCCCUCCCCUCUCCCUGAGACAGUAAGCAAUUUGAUAUGGGUUAUACAUGCGCAAUCAUGCAAAAUAAAAUUCCAAAUUAAGCAUGUUGUGGAAAAAGAGACAUAACUGAUAACUGGUCAGUCUUUCAUCAACUGUGUUGUUGUUAUUAUAUAAAUUGUCCCCUGGUUCUGCUAACUCCCCCUGUAUCAGUUCAUUCUGACCACCCCAGGUUUCUCUAAAACUAUCCCUUUCGUUCUUUCUUAUGGUAUAAUAGUAUUAUUCCAUUAAAUUACCAUAACAACAUUUACUCAACCAGUCCUCACCCAGUGAUGGGCACUCCCUUAGCUUCAGAGUUUUUUGUCACUACACAAAUCUCUUUCAGUUCUGAUAUUCUAUGACUAAGAUUCUGCUAUGUGCCUGGCAUGGUGCAUUACAUAUGUAUGAUGUAAAUAUGUAGCUCUCUAUUCCUGUGACAGACAUGCUGUCAACACCCAGGAUCAAGUUUACUUCGGGCUGUCAGAUCCAGUUGGCUUCAGCUCUAGCCAACAACUUGGAAAAAUCUCUCUAUUAGACUAGCUGAAGUUGGUAUAAUUACCUUUGAUAAUGCUGAUCUGACAUCUCUUGAUGAAAUUGCCAAACAGGUAGCUGUUCUCAUUUGUGAGUGAUGAUCUUGUAAUCAGUCAACUGAGUCAAGUUUAAUGGCUCUAUUUUCAAAUAUAUUUUGGCUUUUGUCGUU